GUCGAGCUCCGUGGCCAACUCCUCCAUCGACGGUGAUGGCGCUAUCCCCGACGCGAUUCCUUCCAAACCAUCCCCGACGAGCCCACUUUCCUGAUGGUGGACGCAUGCCUCUCAACUCAAUGGACGGCUGCUUCUAAUAUGGAUGGAUGACUCCUCCUCACGCGGCGGAUUCGUCUCCUCUGCUCCUAGCGGCUCCUGCACAUGGAUACAAGUCACUUCAGCAAAAUGAAAUAAAUUUGGGCACUGGAAACCAGCUGCUUCUCACUCAGCGGAUUCGUCUCCUUGUCCCCUCCUAGCGGCUGAUGGAAGGUCGCAGAUGAAGAAGUAACCCCAAGCAAAUUGGAAGGCCCUGAUGCCAAGUAACAAAAGCCAGCAGGUGCCUGACUCCAUGGACGACCAGGACCUGAGUUGAUGAGGAUGACAUCGUCGAUUCCGAUCCAGAACGCCACACAUGGAGAAGGCACCAGGUGAAACAACCACAAGCAGGGGAUGGAAGGUCGCAGAUGGAGAAGAAACCCCAAGCAAAUUGGGAGGCCCUGAUGCCAAGUAACAAAAGGUGCCAGUCCUGCACCCUUGGCCGUCCCUGACGAGCCCACUAUUACUAAUGGUGGAUGGCGUGCCUCUCAAUGGACGGUUGCUUCUCAUGGGGUGGAUUCGUCUCCUCCCCCCUCCUAGCGGCUGCGACGACGAUGACGGUUCCACUGAGGCACUAAUGCCGGGCUUUAAAGGAAUAAAAAGGAAAGAGCUGAUGACAGGCUUAGAAAGCAACAGAAGAAGAGACCAAGAUGAAGGAGUCUGAGCUAAUGCGAGGAAACCCGCUGAUCAAUAUGAAUAACUUCUGCUCCUUCGACGUGGAAGUAACAAUGCUGCCUACUAUAUUAUAUUAUGCGGGGUCAUGGAGAGACCAAGACACCGAAACGGUUCAUCAAUUACACCGUCAUACGUGAUUUCCACCGCAAGUUUCUGCAUAGGCCCACGUUGACAGGGAAAAUAAAUAUGUUCGGGGUGUUCCCUCAUUUUGUGUGUCAGUGUCUUGGAAAAUGUUGUUUUAGUCGAAUUCUAGUUUUCUUGUAGCAGCCUGAGGUCCUUCUCUAUUUUAUUUCUUUCUGGUUAGGUAAGAAGUACUGUUAGUGAGGUUUGCCCUUGCAAAUUGGCUGGUUACCAUUUGCCUCUGUUUCUCACGACAUUGGAGUCGGUGUACUGCUCGGAGAUUUAUAUUCUGGUUCUCCAUUGUUUGAUGGCCACCUUUUCCAUGGAUGGCCUGAUAGGAGCUAGAGGAACCUUUAUUCUCUCUCCUUGUUUAUUUGGUCAAUCGAUUAUGCAUUCAUGGUUGCAUCCGCUGUAUUGUUACUAUUCAUAAUCUGCAGUUUGAUUUUAUUGAUGAUGGUGAGAUAAUGUCAAUUGUUAUAAAUGACGUAGCUUACUUUCCUCUAUUUUUUCUGUUCUAGUUUGGAUCUAUUAUUUCUUUGAUCUUCUUUGGUGCAUGCAAAUUGAACCUCUAUUUGCUUGUUGGCACCAAGGGGGAAACGAUCAUACGUGAGCCUGCAAUUGAAGUUCUUGGUUUUGUGGUUCUUGCUGUUAGAUUAUGUGGUUCUUGGUUUUGGCAAAAUCAAACAUAAUUCAACUAUUUAUUAUUAGUACAACCAACUAUUUGCAUGUUUGGACUUGCAGUAGCUACUUAUCACACGCUAGAUAGAUUUUUAGAUUCAAAUCAGAUCAAUGUGUACGUGAGAACUAGCUAGUUCCGUGUAUUUGGUCCUUGAACUCAAUUGGCAUCAAUCCUGGUUAGCUACUGCAAGUUGUAGCUCACCUGGUUCGAUGACAUAUGGGGCUCUAGGUAAAGAUCCAACACAAAAAGACCAAUGAGGUUAAAGUUAGCUAACUUAGGGUGGUAAGUUUUGGUGGCCACAUUCCCUAGUUGUCUCAUCUUUCAGAAUGGAUUUGUUUUACACUCGCAUCUAAUAUUGGGGUGUUGUAUGCUUAGUACAGUGCUCUAUCCAGAGUUGGAAGAUUCAAAUGAGCUUGCCUUGUUUAUCUUCUCAGCUCUUGCGCAACUACGAAUUAGCUAGCUAG